AAAAAAAACGACGGCGAUUCUGUAAUUGGCCCAAAGAAGGAAAAAGGAAGCCGGCCGUCACACACACUCACAGUCACACUCACAGUACCAAUUCCAAGUCCUAAUUUGAAGGCCCUAGCACCACAAAUGUCGUAUUUGGGGCAACGUGGCCAAAGUUUCAUUCACGAUGCGUGACUUGCCCAGCAAGAGGCAAAGAGCAAGCAAAACUACUUCUGUUUUCUUACACCCCUUCAAAUCCCUUCCCUUAUACUUUUUUUUGUGAUUUGCUUUUGAGAGUAAAUAUGUAUUUGAGAUUGGCUUUAAGAAAUUUGAGCUCCAAAACUGGAAUCCUUUCAACUUCAUCAUCAUGUUUGAGUAAAACCUUACCGGAGAUCCAUCGACAACAGCCUUCUCUUCUUCUUCUUCUUCUUCCCAAGGUUUUCGUUGGUGGUGAUGCUUCUUAUGGGAAUUCCCACUCGUUCCACAGCUUCAGGUUUCAAGUUCAGCAAGGUGGGAGUUCUUUAGUCGAGGAGCCAGUGGAUCCAUUUUCUCUUGUUGCUGAUGAACUCUCUCUUAUUGGUAAUCGGCUACGUGAGAUGGUGGUUGCUGAGGUCCCUAAGCUUGCCUCAGCUGCUGAAUACUUCUUCAAGAUGGGGGUAGAGGGAAAGAGGUUUCGUCCCACGGUUCUAUUGUUGAUGGCAUCAGCAUUGAAUGUGUCGCUACCUGGAUCUGUUCCCGAUGCUGUGGCUAAUUUUUCCAAUGAACUCCGUACAAGGCAGCAGUGUAUUACUGAGAUUACCGAGAUGAUUCAUGUUGCAAGUCUUCUUCAUGAUGAUGUCUUGGAUGAUGCUGAUACAAGGCGUGGGGUUCGUUCCCUUAAUUUCUUAAUGGGGAAUAAGCUGUCUGUGCUAGCAGGAGAUUUUCUGCUUUCUCGAGCUUGUGUGGCACUUGCCUCUCUUAAAAAUACAGAGGUUGUCACAUUACUUGCAACGGUUGUUGAGCAUCUUGUAACAGGUGAAACAAUGCAAAUGGCCAGUACAUCAGAACAGCGCUGUAGCAUGGACCAGUAUAUGCAAAAGACAUAUUAUAAGACAGCAUCAUUGAUCGCGAAUAGUUGCAAAGCAAUCGCUCUGCUGGCUGGCCAGGCAACUGAUGUUGCAAUGCUAGCCUACAAUUACGGCCGCAAUCUGGGCUUGGCGUAUCAAUUGAUCGAUGAUGUUCUCGAUUUCACAGGGACGUCAGCUUCUCUCGGAAAGGGUUCGCUUUCUGACAUCCGCCAUGGGAUUAUAACAGCCCCGAUAUUGUUUGCUAUCGAAGAAUUCCCACAAUUACAAGAAGUUAUCAAUCGAGGCUUCAGCGACCCUGCAGAUGUUGAUCUUGCCAUUGAAUACCUUGGUAAGAGUCGCGGCAUACAAAGAGCAAAAGAACUAGCAACCGAACACGCCAACCUGGCAGCCUCAGCCAUCAACUCUCUUCCUCAAAGUGAUGAUGAAAAUGUCAGAAUAUCAAGACGGGCUCUGGUGGACCUCACUCAUAUAGUAAUCACAAGAACAAAGUAGACACAAACAAACUACUCUUCCCAUUCAAACUACAUUAAAAGAAAGCAUGUAAAGCAUACUUCUUAUCAAUUUCUGGGGCCAUUAUUCUGAAAUGAACCAAUUCAGCUGCCAGAGGCCACAUCUAUGCCAAUUGCAUAGCCUCCAACAUUGCCCAUGCUUCAGCCUGCUGUACAAUGGAAGCUCUUUUCAAGGAACUGAGAGGGAGGAGGACUCCAGUGACUACCCAUAAUGUAUCCAACUCCAAGAGGGUUUCUAUGAACAACUGAGUAAACAUGCAAAUGACGACAUGAUACAUAUGAAUGAACAUGAUGGAUGACAGUAUUGUGGUUAGGUGUAAUGUUGUUAAAGAUUACACUGCAUCUAUGUUUCCAUAUAGAAUGCAAAAUGCAGGCUAUUAUAUGCAAAGCCUGAGGAGUGUUCAGAAUAGAGAAGAUAAAAUCCCUGUUCUGCCAGCUUUUAAUCCAAGAGAGGAUAGAAGAUUGCUGCAUAAUGAAAGCAAACUGUUGAGGAAAGAACUUCUGUCAUAAUGCCUUAGUGAAGGGACAAAAGAGCAACAUAUGAUUCAAAUCUUCCUUCU